CGGCCUUGAAAUACCACCCUUUAAUGUUUGAUGUUCUAACGUGGACCCGUGAUCCGGGUUGCGGACAGUGUCUGGUGGGUAGUUUGACUGGGGCGGUCUCCUCCUAAAGAGUAACGGAGGAGCACGAAGGUUGGCUAAUCCUGGUCGGACAUCAGGAGGUUAGUGCAAUGGCAUAAGCCAGCUUGACUGCGAGCGUGACGGCGCGAGCAGGUGCGAAAGCAGGUCAUAGUGAUCCGGUGGUUCUGAAUGGAAGGGCCAUCGCUCAACGGAUAAAAGGUACUCCGGGGAUAACAGGCUGAUACCGCCCAAGAGUUCAUAUCGACGGCGGUGUUUGGCACCUCGAUGUCGGCUCAUCACAUCCUGGGGCUGAAGUAGGUCCCAAGGGUAUGGCUGUUCGCCAUUUAAAGUGGUACGCGAGCUGGGUUUAGAACGUCGUGAGACAGUUCGGUCCCUAUCUGCCGUGGGCGCUGGAGAACUGAGGGGGGCUGCUCCUAGUACGAGAGGA
rnacentral:rRNA from 1 species